rnacentral:rRNA from 1 species
CAUGUCUUUUUGAUAUUAAUUUAAGGUCUAAUCUGCUCAGUGAAAAUUUAAAUAGCCGCAGUAUCCUAACUGUGCAAAGGUAGCAUAAUAAUUAGUUUUUUAAUUGGAAGCUGGAAUGAAUGAUUGAACGAGAAAAUAACUGUCUCUUUAUAAUUAUUAUUGAAUUUAACUUUUAAGUUAAAAGGCUUAAAUGAUUUUAAAAGACGAGAAGACCCUAUAGAGUUUUAUUUGUUUGUGAAAAGGUUGGGAUAUUUAAUUUCAAUACAAAUUUAGUUGGGGUGACUGAAAGAUUAAAUAAACUCUUUUAAUUUUAAUCAUUGAUUGAUGAAUUUUAAAUCUUUAUUUAAAAAAUUAAAUUAAAUUACCUUAGGGAUAACAGCGUAAUUUUUCUUUAGAGUUCUUAUUGAAAGAAGAGUUUGCGACCUCGAUGUUGGAUUAAAAUAAAUUUUUGGUGUAGAAGCUAAAAUAUUAAGUCUGUUCGACUUUUAAAAUUUUACAUGAUCUGAGU